rnacentral:rRNA from 1 species
CCUACGGGAGGCAGCAGUGGGGAAUAUUGCACAAUGGGCGAAACCCUGAUGCAGCCACGCCGCGUGAGCGAUGAAGUAUCUCGGUAUGUUAAGCUCUAUCAGUAGGGAAGAAAAUGACGGUACUUGUCUAAGAAGCCCCGGCUAACUACGUGCCAGCAUCCGCGGCACUACGUAGGGGGCAACCGUUAUCCGGAUUUACUGGGCGUAAAGGGGGCGUAGGCGGCGGUGCAAGGCCGAUGUGAAAGCCUGGGGCUCAAACCGGGGACUGCAUUUGAAACUGGGCGGCUGGAGUGACGGAGAGGCAGGCGGAAUUCCUAGUGUAGCGGUGAAAUGCGUAGAUAUUAGGAGGAACACCGGUGGCGAAGGCGGCCUACUGGACGAUGACUGACGUUGAGGCUCGAAAGCGUGGGGAGCAAACAGGAUUAGAUACCCUAGUAGUC